rnacentral:rRNA from 1 species
UACGAAGGGGGCUAGCGUUGCCCGGAAUCACUGGGCGUAAAGCGCACGUAGGCGGAUUGUUAAGUCAGGGGUGAAAUCCUGGAGCUCAACUCCAGAACUGCCUUUGAUACUGGCGAUCUCGAGUCCGGGAGAGGUGAGUGGAACUGCGAGUGUAGAGGUGAAAUUCGUAGAUAUUCGCAAGAACACCAGUGGCGAAGGCGGCUCACUGGCACGGUACUGACGCUGAGGUGCGAAAGCGUGGGGAGCAAACAGG